rnacentral:lncRNA from 1 species
GGCAGGAGAAUUACCCCUGAAUGCUACCAUGAGCUCUAACUCCCUGCAGUUAGUUCUACAUCAGUGUUUUGAUGGAAUGAGUGAAAAUACUAUGUUGGAAUAAUGACUUCCAAAGAAUUGAGGAAAAUUAAAGUCCACCAAUCUCUGUUUUUAGCACAGUGCUGAGUGUGUGUGUGUGUGUGUGUGUGAGUGUGUGUGUUCCACACUUGAUGCUGUGUUAGGGAGAGAACACAAGACAGGAAGCUGUUUUCUUGAUGCAGAGCCAGGCUGAGAAAAGUAAAUACCAGAAUGUGUACGGUGUCAGAUGGGCAGAGGCCCAGUAGAGAAUGGAGCAAAGGAAACUACAAGGACAGCAACCUCAAGGCUGGGGAGUUCAGCGUGCAAAGAAGAUCGACCUGGCAUUGGUGCUUAAGGCCAAGAAGAAAAAUACCUCUUUUGUGAAAAGUUCCUUUUUAGCCUGACUGUUGGAAAAAGCAAGCCAAGAAUUUCAUAUGGGAAAUGGGAUCUGAAACUCCACCUU